rnacentral:rRNA from 1 species
UAGGCACCAGAACAGACUAUGUUAAGCACCCUGUACACAAAAGACAAAACUAACUAGGCCCUGUUCCAAUGCCUUUGGUUGGGGCGACCGCGGGGAAACAAAAAACCCCCACGUGGACUAAGAGUACCCUUCACUCUUACAACCAAGGGCUACAGCCCUAAGUAACAGAAUCUCUGACCAUAAAUGAUCCGGUACAACCGAUCAACGAACCGAGUUACCCUAGGGAUAACAGCGCAAUCCCCUUCUAGAGUCCAUAUCGACAAGGGGGUUUACGACCUCGAUGUUGGAUCAGGACAUCCUAUUGGUGCAGCCGCUAUUAAG